rnacentral:rRNA from 1 species
GACGAACGCUGGCGGCGUGCCUAAUACAUGCAAGUAGGACGCAGUUGCGAACGGGUGAGUAACGCGUAGGUAACUACCUAUUAGAGGGGGAUAACUAUUGGAAACGCUAGCUAAUACCGCAUACUAGUAGAUGGACCUGCGUUGUAUUAGCUAGUAGAUAGGGGAAUGGCCUACCUAGGCAACGAUACAUAGCCGACCGUGGGGGGGGUUCUGCCACACUGGGACUGAGACACGGGCCAGACUCCUACGGGAGGCAGCAAUAAGGAAUCUUCGGCAAUGGGGGGAACCCUGACCGAGCAACGCCGCGUGAAUGAAGAAGGUUUUCGGAUCGUAAAGCUCUGUUGUUAAGGAAGCGGUACUUAACCAGAAAGGGACGGCUAACUACGUGCCAGCAGCCGCGGUAAUUC